GUGCUCACUUCGGCAGGACAUACACGAAAAUUGGAAUGAUACAGAGAACACUGGCAUGGCCCCUGCACAAGGAUAACACACAAAUUCAUGAAUGUUCCAUAUUUUUU
rnacentral:snRNA from 1 species